rnacentral:rRNA from 1 species
UACGGGGGGGGCAAGCGUUGUUCGGAAUUACUGGGCGUAAAGGGCUCGUAGGUGGCCAACUCAGUCGGACGUGAAAUCCCUCGGCUUAACCGGGGAACUGCGUCUGAUACUGGAUGGCUUGAGUUCGGGAGAGGGAUGCGGAAUUCCAGGUGUAGCGGUGAAAUGCGUAGAUAUCUGGAGGAACACCGGUGGCGAAGGCGGCAUCCUGGACCGACACUGACACUGAGGAGCGAAAGCCAGGGGAGCAAACGGG